rnacentral:tRNA from 1 species
AUUAUUUUGUCAGAUAGAUUGAGUUAAAUUUAGGAUUUAAUUAGGAGAUUUUAAAAAACUCAAAUAAUA